CAAUAGCGUAUAUUAAAGUUGUUGCGGUUAAAAAGCUCGUAGUUGGAUUUCUGCUGAGGAUGACCGGUCCGCCCUCCGGGUGAGUAUCUGGCUCAGCCUUGGCAUCUUCCUGAAGAACGUAACUGCACUUGACUGUGUGGUGCGGUAUUUAGGACAUUUACUUUGAGGAAAUUAGAGUGUUUCAAGCAAGCGCACGCCUUGAAUACAUUAGCAUGGAAUAAUAAGAUAGGACCUCGGUUCUAUUUUGUUGGUUUCUAGAGCUGAGGUAAUGAUUGAUAGGGAUAGUUGGGGGCAUUCGUAUUUAACUGUCAGAGGUGAAAUUCUUGGAUUUGUUAAGGACGGACUACUGCGAAAGCAUUUGCCAAGGAUGUUUUCAUUGA
rnacentral:rRNA from 1 species